rnacentral:rRNA from 1 species
CCAAUAGCGUAUAUUAAAGUUGUUGCAGUUAAAAAGCUCGUAGUUGAAUUUCGGGAUUCGUCCAUUGGUCAGGCUUAACUGUCUGUACUGGUGUGUCGGAUUUCUACCUUCUGAAGAACCUUCAUGCCAUUAAUUUGGUGUGUUGGGGAAUCAGGACUGUUACUUUGAAAAAAUUAGAGUGUUUAAAGCAGGCUAACGUCUGAAUACAUUAGCAUGGAAUAAUGAAAUAGGACGGUACGGUUCUAUUUUGUUGGUUUCUAGGAUCGCCGUAAUGAUUAAUAGGGAUAGUUGGGGGCAUUAGUAUUCAAUUGUCAGAGGUGAAAUUCUUGGAUUUAUUGAAGACUAACUUCUGCGAAAGCAUUUGCCAAGGAUGUUUUCAUUAAUCAAGAACGAAAGUUAGGGGAUCGAAGACGAUCAGAUACCGUCGUAGUCUUAACCAUAAACUAUGCCGACUAGGGAUUGGACGAUGUUAAUUUUUUAAUGACUCGUUCAGCACCUUACG